AGUGCUCUGCUUUCAGCGUCUGUAAGGGAAGGAAAUUGGUUGCACCAACUUAUGUUAGGAUUUACUUUUAAAGAAGGUCCUUAGGAAAGGCAGCGUUUUAACCUAAGGGAGUGCAUUUUCAAGAGUGGAUUUUCAGGCAGGGAGCGCAGCAGGCGUUUCCCGACAUGCCCGUGAGCAAGACUCGAUCACGGCCCAGAAACCCUGCUUUGCAGAGGUGACCACCCCGGCCCGCCCGGGAGAACCGGGCCCGAGCUGCCGCGCCGCCACGGUGACUCGGCCAUAAGACCCGCCAGACGGGUGUGUUCCUGCAAGACCUCUCUUUCCCUAGGGGAAAACAGAGACAUCUCAUCACAGAUAUCUCUAGGUUUGCCUUGGCCAUGAUGUCCAAGUGGUCUGCUUGGUUCCAUACCUGCAUCUGAGCUGGCUCUGUGGGAGGUGCCAAGCUGCCUUCGACACUGUGCAUGGUACUUUAAAGCUCUCAAUAAAUAUUUUUCAAGUGAAGUCAAUGAAGCAAGAAAGAAUCUCAACUAGUUUUCAGGAAAAGAGAGGAAAACAUGGAGCCACAGAGCCACAGACAGGCAAAGAGAAGAAAACCAUCUGAAGAUAUAGACAAAUGUUGGAGUGAUGCCACUACAAGCCAAGAAAUGCCAGAGAAUAUCAAGGAUUGCUGACUACCACCAGGAGCCAGUUGACAGGCAUGGAAUCUUCUUUCUCAGGGAAAAACACAACUCUGGCAAUACCUUAGUUUUGGAUU